rnacentral:snRNA from 1 species
AUACUCUGGUUUCUCUUCAGAUAGUACUAAAGAUUUCCAUGGAGAGGAACAAUUCUGAAUUUUUUCCCAAUUUUUUGAGGCCUUGCUUUUGCAAGACU